UUUUGGUACGAAUGGGAAAAA
rnacentral:piRNA from 1 species